CGCUGGCGGCGUGCUUAACACAUGCAAGUCGAACGGAAAGGCCCUGCUUUUGUGGGGUGCUCGAGUGGCGAACGGGUGAGUAACACGUGAGUAACCUGCCCUUGACUUUGGGAUAACUUCAGGAAACUGGGGCUAAUACCGGAUAGGAGCUCCUGCUGCAUGGUGGGGGUUGGAAAGUUUCGGCGGUUGGGGAUGGACUCGCGGCUUAUCAGCUUGUUGGUGGGGUAGUGGCUUACCAAGGCUUUGACGGGUAGCCGGCCUGAGAGGGUGACCGGCCACAUUGGGACUGAGAUACGGCCCAGACUCCUACGGGAGGCAGCAGUGGGGAAUAUUGCACAAUGGGCGGAAGCCUGAUGCAGCAACGCCGCGUGCGGGAUGACGGCCUUCGGGUUGUAAACCGCUUUCGCCUGUGACGAAGCGUGAGUGACGGUAAUGGGUAAAGAAGCACCGGCUAACUACGUGCCAGCAGCCGCGGUGAUACGUAGGGUGCGAGCGUUGUCCGGAUUUAUUGGGCGUAAAGGGCUCGUAGGUGGUUGAUCGCGUCGGAAGUGUAAUCUUGGGGCUUAACCCUGAGCGUGCUUUCGAUACGGGUUGACUUGAGGAAGGUAGGGGAGAAUGGAAUUCCUGGUGGAGCGGUGGAAUGCGCAGAUAUCAGGAGGAACACUAGUGGCGAAGGCGGUUCUCUGGGCCUUUCCUGACGCUGAGGAGCGAAAGCGUGGGGAGCGAACAGGCUUAGAUACCCUGGUAGUCCACGCUGUAAACGGUGGGUACUAGGUGUGGGGUCCAUUCCACGGGUUCCGUGCCGUAGCUAACGCUUUAAGUACCCCGCCUGGGGAGUACGGCCGCAAGGCUAAAACUCAAAGGAAUUGACGGGGCCCCGCACAAGCGGCGGAGCAUGCGGAUUAAUUCGAUGCAACGCGUAGAACCUUACCUGGGUUUGACAUGGAUCGGGAGUGCUCAGAGAUGGGUGUGCCUCUUUUGGGGUCGGUUCACAGGUGGUGCAUGGCUGUCGUCAGCUCGUGUCGUGAGAUGUUGGGUUAAGUCCCGCAACGAGCGCAACCCUUGUUCACUGUUGCCAGCACGUUAUGGUGGGGACUCAGUGGAGACCGCCGGGGUCAACUCGGAGGAAGGUGGGGAUGACGUCAAGUCAUCAUGCCCCUUAUGUCCAGGGCUUCACGCAUGCUACAAUGGCUGGUACAGAGAGUGGCGAGCCUGUGAGGGUGAGCGAACCUCGGAAAGCCGGUCUCAGUUCGGAUUGGGGUCUGCAACUCGACCUCAUGAAGUCGGAGUCGCUAGUAAUCGCAGAUCAGCAACGCUGCGGUGAAUACGUUCCCGGGGCUUGUACACACCGCCCGUCAAGUCAUGAAAGUUGGUAACACCCGAAGCCGGUGGCCUAACCGUUGCGGGGGAGCCGUCGAAGGUGGGACUGGUGAUUAGGACU
rnacentral:rRNA from 1 species